rnacentral:rRNA from 1 species
AUUGAACGCUGGCGGCAUGCUUUACACAUGCAAGUCGGACGAGUGGCGAACGGGUGAGUAACAUAUCGGAACGUACCGAGUAAUGGGGGAUAACUAAUCGAAAGAUUAGCUAAUACCGCAUAUUAUUCGAGCGGCCGUUAUCUGAUUAGCUGGUGGGUGGGGUAAAGGCCUACCAAGGCGACGAUCAGUGGCGGGUCUGAGAGGAUGAUCAGCCAACCGGGGACGAGGAAACGGCCCAGAUUCCUACGGGGGGCAGCGGUGGGAAAUGUUGGACAAUGGGCGAAAGCCUGAUCCAGCCAUGCCGCGUGUCUGAAGAAGGCCUUCGGGUUGUAAAGGACUUUUGUCAGGGAAGCGGUACCUGAAGAAUAAGCACCGGCUAACUACGUGCCAGCAGCCGCGGUAAUC